rnacentral:rRNA from 1 species
UAUUGCGCAAUGGGGGAAAGCCUGACGCAGCGACGCCGUGUGAGGGAAGAAGGCUUUCGGGUCGUAAACCUCUGUCGGGAAGGAAGAACCCCCCAAGUCCGAAUAGGGCUUGGGGCUGACGGUACUUCCAAAGGAAGCACCGGCUAACUCCGUGCCAGCAGCCGCGUAAUACGGAGGGUGCAAGCGUUAAUCGGAAUCACUGGGCGUAAAGCGNGCGUAGGCGGCUNNUNAAGUCAGGCGUGAAAGCCCUCGGCUCAACCGGGGAAUUGCGUUCGAAACUGGGAGGCUUGAGGCUUAGAGAGGG